rnacentral:tRNA from 1 species
GGGUGUAUAGCUCAGUUGGUUAGAGCGCUUGCACGACACGCAAGAGGUCCCCCGUUCGAAUCGGGGUAUACCCA